rnacentral:rRNA from 1 species
AGAGUUUGAUCCUGGCUCAGGAUGAACGCUGGCGGCGUGCCUAACACAUGCAAGUCGAGCGAGAAAUCUUCAAAUGAAGUUUCGGCGGAUUUUGGAGAUGGAAAGCGGCGGACGGGUGAGUAACGCGUAGGCAACCUGCCCCUUGCAGAGGGAUAGCCUCGGGAAACCGGGAUUAAAACCUCAUAACGCCAAGAUGAGACAUCUUGACUUGGCCAAAGAUUUAUCGGCAAGGGAUGGGCCUGCGUCUGAUUAGUUAGUUGGUGGGGUAACGGCCUACCAAGGCGACGAUCAGUAGCCGACCUGAGAGGGUGAUCGGCCACAUUGGAACUGAGACACGGUCCAAACUCCUACGGGAGGCAGCAGUGGGGAAUAUUGCACAAUGGGCGAAAGCCUGAUGCAGCAACGCCGCGUGAAGGAAGAAGGCCUUUGGGUCGUAAACUUCUGUUCUAAGGGAAGAAGAUGACGGUACCUUAGGAGCAAGUCCCGGCUAACUACGUGCCAGCAGCCGCGGUAAUACGUAGGGGGCGAGCGUUAUCCGGAAUUAUUGGGCGUAAAGAGUGCGUAGGUGGUUACCUAAGCAGGGGGUUUAAGGCUAUAGCUUAACUAUAGUUCGCCCCCUGAACUGGGCUACUUGAGUGCAGGAGAGGGAAGCGGAAUUCCUAGUGUAGCGGUGAAAUGCGUAGAUAUUAGGAGGAACACCAGUGGCGAAGGCGGCUUUCUGGACUGUAACUGACACUGAGGCACGAAAGCGUGGGGAGCAAACAGGAUUAGAUACCCUGGUAGUCCACGCCGUAAACAAUGAACCCUAGGU